CCUACGGGAGGCAGCAGUGGGGAAUAUUGCACAAUGGGGGAAACCCUGAUGCAGCGACGCCGCGUGAGUGAAGAAGUAAUUCGUUAUGUAAAGCUCUAUCAGCAGGGAAGAAAAUGACGGUACCUGAGUCAGAAGCACCGGCUAACUACGUGCCAGCAGCCGCGGUAAUACGUAGGGGGCAAGCGUUAUCCGGAUUUACUGGGUGUAAAGGGAGCGUAGACGGCAGUGCAAGUCUGGAGUGAAAGGCGGGGGCUCAACCCCCGGACUGCUCUGGAAACUGUACGGCUGGAGUGCAGGAGAGGUAAGUGGAAUUCCUAGUGUAGCGGUGAAAUGCGUAGAGAUUAGGAGGAACACCAGUGGCGAAGGCGGCUUACUGGACUGUAACUGACGUUGAGGCUCGAAAGCGUGGGGAGCAAACAGGAUUAGAUACCCUUGUAGUC
rnacentral:rRNA from 1 species